rnacentral:rRNA from 1 species
UACGUAGGGCGCAAGCGUUAUCCGGAAUUAUUGGGCGUAAAGAGCUCGUAGGCGGUUUGUCGCGUCUGCCGUGAAAGUCCGGGGCUCAACUCCGGAUCUGCGGUGGGUACGGGCAGACUAGAGUGAUGUAGGGGAGACUGGAAUUCCUGGUGUAGCGGUGAAAUGCGCAGAUAUCAGGAGGAACACCGAUGGCGAAGGCAGGUCUCUGGGCAUUAACUGACGCUGAGGAGCGAAAGCAUAGGGAGCGAACAGG